CAGCCACACUACCUUGAACGUGCCCAAUCUCGUCUGUCUUGGAAGCUAAGCAGGGUCAGGCCAGGUUAGUACUUGGAUGGGAGAAUCUCACAGUCAGAAUCAGUUUGAUCAACGGU
rnacentral:rRNA from 1 species